GGAGCGCGAGGCUAGGGAUCGUCAGGAGCGUAAGGAGGCGUCAGCAACCCGCCGUCGUGGCCGUCGUGGCCGUCGUAAGCAUUGAGGUUGAAGGGAAGAAGUUCCGGAUGCUGUCUAGCUGGCAACGGGGAGUACACGAUGGAGCACACCCUGACGCAGCUGACGCAGCUGUAGGAGAUGGCUUUUUUGAUAGCUUCAGCAAUUUGACCUCUUCUUCGUUAUAACAUGGUGUACUUUGUAAUAAUUUGUUUUGCACAACACAACACAUACAAUUCAGCUUGCAGUGGGCAGUCCAA